rnacentral:hammerhead_ribozyme from 1 species
ACCUUGCUGACGAGUGUUAGGUAGCACGAAACCCGGGUCCAAGGU